GUUCAUUUGUUGCACAAUUCGUUACAGUCUAUUUUGCAGAUAAAAUGAGUGUUCUCCACAUAGUAAAUUACAGUGAAUGCACGUAUUUUGAGUCUUGCGAUCUUUAUUUCCGAUCAGUUUACAGGCGUGUAAAUGGCCGAAAACAUUUAUUGUGAUUAAAGUUAUUCCAAGCUGAUCUCGUUCUCAGUGCCAAUAAUUGUGGUGCAGAGUAAUCUUCACCAAACGAGACUCUGGCAGCAACAGCACCAUCAUAAAGCAAUAGCCCUCUCGUACAGGAGAUUAUUGUUGACUAUUGUAAAUUGGUGCUUCAAUAAACUGUCAUAAAUGAAUUAAUUCAACUGCGUGAUAAAGUUAUUCCCUUUUCUCUCCUAAGCGAAGCAGAUUUAUUCUUAUCUCUAUUUAUCAACCCCUAACAUUGAACGUAAGAUUGUACAAAAAGUGUUCGAGUUAUAUGGCGCAUUUGAACUCGUCUGUCAAAAAAUUGGCACAUGGUAUGCAAAAGGUUGGCCACCCCUGGUAUAAGGGUUAUCUAAAAGUCAUCUGUUAUUAGUGACGCUCGCCUCUUCAAUUUCAACCUCGUGUAGUUCUGAUCUUGUUAAUAGUUCGGGGUCUUCGUUAAAUCUAGAUUUCAUGACGUCACAGAAAGGGUGUGUGUUAGGCUGUGAGAUAUAUACGGAAUAUGUUAGAAUAGUGUUUUAUUUUUUUGAUAAUCAUUCAAAGUGAUACCUUUUUAUAGUUUAGAAAACUUUUAGUAAUACUUUUCAGCAACUUUUAGUCGUACUUUUAGUAAUUACUUUUCUGGCUAUUAUAUAUGACAGGGGAAAAUUUAUGGCAAUCGGUCAAGAAAUAAUUCUUCCAAGAUUUUUAAUUUUGGACUCCGGUUUUUAAAUCUUCGAGAAAUACAAAUAAUUUUUUCACCCUGUUUGAAGCUUAAUAACUCUUGUGCCUAUUGUCGAAAAUGUCUGAAAUUUUGCAGUGAGGUUUGUGCAUUACAGGGAUUAAAGCUGCUAAAUUUUGACGGUUACAGGAAGUGAAGAGAUAAACGGAUAUCGUGUCAUAUUUCGAGUAGGGUUACGCUUAAUGAUGAUUUUACUCGUAAUUAGCAUUUCCAAUAUUUUAUAAUACGUAGCCUACUCUCAAAAUUAAGUUAUUUGCCAUUUUAUAAUAAGUUAGUACAUGUAAAUGUUUCAUUCUUGAAGCCGAAUUAUAAUUACCAUAAACUUCGAUCAGUACCCGAGAGAGGUAAUUUGCUCAUCAUUGUGGUUCUUUAAACAUGACUGUCGGUAGCUUUAGGUCAACACUGGAACGGAGGAAGGGGCUUAUUACAAGUCGGACAAAGUCGAACGAAAAGAAAGGGGUUGAACUUUAAUGGAGUGAGAAAAGUUUUGCGAAGAUUUGAGUUUUGUUCGACGUUCAAAGAAGAGUACGGAAACUUGGACAAACUGGGUAGAAAAAAAUCGAUAUUUCGGAUAACCGAUUGUG